rnacentral:rRNA from 1 species
GAUGAACGCUGGCGGCGUGCCUAAUACAUGCAAGUCGAGCGAACAGACGAGGAGCUUGCUCCUCUGACGUUAGCGGCGGACGGGUGAGUAACACGUGGAUAACCUACCUAUAAGACUGGGAUAACUUUGGGAAACCGGAGCUAAUACCGGAUAAUAUAUUGAACCGCAUGGUUCAAUAGUGAAAGACGGUUUUGCUGUCACUUAUAGAUGGAUCCGCGCCGCAUUAGCUAGUUGGUAAGGUAACGGCUUACCAAGGCGACGAUGCGUAGCCGACCUGAGAGGGUGAUCGGCCACACUGGAACUGAGACACGGUCCAGACUCCUACGGGAGGCAGCAGUAGGGAAUCUUCCGCAAUGGGCGAAAGCCUGACGGAGCAACGCGGCGUGAGUGAUGAAGGUCUUCGGAUCGUAAAACUCUGUUAUUAGGGAAGAACAAAUGUGUAAGUAACUAUGCACGUCUUGACGGUACCUAAUCAGAAAGCCACGGCUAACUACGUG